rnacentral:lncRNA from 1 species
CAGAAACUGACCCUCAUCCACUGGAAGUCGCAGGUGCAUGCAGUUUUGAAGGUGAGAGCUAGAAGUUGGCCUGCAUACCAGCUGUGUACUUGGAGGGAGUACCCAGUGCUGCCCCACAGCAUGCCCACCUGCCUGCUUGGAUCUCUUUUCCUGUUUUCAUCUCUGGUAGGGGGUGGUGGGAGGUAGGGCACCCAGGUAGGCCUCACUUUGAAGAAUGCAGGUCAUAACAGGGGUCAUAGAGUGGGUUGGCAUGGCCAUCAUUGUCUUUCCUGUGGACAUUCACCUACCUUACCCCCAACCCAGGCGGUCUUUAUUUUCCCACAGCUGGUCAGUGAGUUCUGCCCUCGGCUCACCUUUCUCAAGCUUUCAGACUGCCACAGUGUGACCACGGAUGCUCUCGUCAUGCUAGCCAAAGCCUGCCACCAGCUCUACAGCCUGGAUCUACAACACUCCAUGGUGAGCCCUGUGUCCCAAGGGACUCCGAAGAAGCCUAGGUAGAGGUGACAAGUAGCUCUGUGUUGGGUCCCCAGGUGGAGUCCACAGCUGUGGUGAGCUUUCUGGAGGAGGCUGGACCCCGAAUGCGCAGGCUGUGGCUGACCUAUAGUUUCCAGACAACAGCCAUCUUGGGUGCACUACUGGUAGGCUGGUGACGGGCAGGAGCAGAGCCAAAUGCUAAACGGGGGAGUGCCAG